CAGAUCCCACUGAAUAAAUUUUUGGGGUCACAGGAGCACUAAAGCCUACCCGACAACUGUUGGUCAAAGAUCCCGCUGAAUCCAGUUUGGGGCAGGAUGAUGCUACGACCUACAAAACAACUGUUGGCCGAAGAUCCUGCUAAAUCGAUUUCGGGGCAACAGGGACACUAGAGCCUGGCCAACAACUAUUCGGCAAAGGUAGGGUACACCUCUGAUUUCAAUGAUCGUUAUUUGUCGCCAAUGCAAAUAGUACACUGUCACUUAAAGUACAGCAAUCCAUCUUGUUUUAGAGUUUGCUGAAUCAAUUUUGGGGCCACAGGGACGCUAGAGCCUACCCAACCACUGUUGGUCAACGGUAGGGUAUACCCUGGACAUAUCGUUUGUCGCCAAUGCAAAUAAGAAAUUGUAUCUGGAGGUACAACCUAAAAACUUUCAAGUACUAAUUAGGGAGCCAUGAAGAUUUAAAAAAAAACCUUAACUUGCAAAAAAGCCAUGCAUUUUACAAGUGUUAGUGCACAGAAACAUAAUUGAAAUCAUGCUCUUUACCCGGUGUACAAGAACUGAGCUUCAGUGGAGCCACCCAAUGUCAACGUUAUGUUUGGCUGGAGAACCUGGUAAUAUAACUGAAUACGUUGAUAAUUCUGGCACUUAAGGAGAGUUAUAGGAGCAAAAAAGUUAGCUGAAAUGUAAUCCUAUAGUAAGUCUUUGGAGCCUGUGGGACCAUAUUACCUGUGACGAAGGAAAAGUAGAAGGCAAUAACUUUCCUGGGGCAUUUAAAAGCCAAUACAUCAUGGGGUUGUCUGCCUGUACUGGUUCCAAAACUAACCUUUUGGUACAUGAGCUGUAAUGGAAGCCACUUUUAACUAAAACACACACACACACACACACGGAGAGUAAAUGGAAGUGGAUAAAUCAGGGGGUGCUCUCUGUCAGGCCUGUCCUUCAAAGGACGCCUGGUGACACCCAUCUGUGUUCCCAGCUUUUAGCGCGCCUUCACCUUAAGCUAUUUAGAUGUAUUAAAAAGUAUCUCACGACUGUUUGACUCUGUGUCAACACUCUUCAGAGGCGCUCGGACUAUUACGUUACUGUUCCAGGUUUUAAUCAUUUUUGGCCGCCUUUCACUUCCUGCCUUGAAAAGUGAAACAGCUUCAGGAAUGCCAUUCUUUGAAAAGAAAACAGAGAGGAUCCACAGAGGAAGUCCUCCCACAGCGCACGCACACACACACACAUACACACACACACACACCUCUGCUCCACACGUUCUCACACCCACAUGUUCAACUCUCCCACACUGUCAAACAGGCACAUGUGCACGACACGACCAGACUCCCCUCUCGCUCACACACCGGUUGGCGCUCUCCUGCGCACACAAACGCACGGCAGGGCUUGCUGGGAAACAUCAGACACCCGGGGAGGAAGGAGGACAGGCUUUUCCCACAUUUAAACUCCACAGAUACUUCAGAUGUCAGGCUAUAAAUAGCGCCAACGUUAACCAAACCAGGACUGAAUCAACCGCAGGGGUGACUGCUGUGACCCGCUAAACUUUGGCCCAGCCUGUUCGGCCAGAAUCUUCAGAAAAACGCUACGUUUAGCAUCAACUUCUUGCUUUUUGAACCCUGUAUUUUGAUAGUUUUCCUGGUAUUUCAUUUUUUUUAUGUUUAAAACUCUGUUUUCUACUUUUACUUUCUCCUAACAGUAAUCCUCAUGGCCACAGUUUUUAAUAACCAAGUUUGUUCCCUAUUUUUGGCUAAUACAUGUUUUUUUUUUUUUUUUUUUGAGGCAAAAACAUAAAAUCUAUUAUAUAAUUUUGAAACUGCCUUUAAAAACAGACAAAAUCCAACUCUGUCAUCUCACGACUGACGGAUUUAUUGUGAAAAGCUAUUUUCAGAAGUCUCGUUUUGGCAAAACCACAGGAUGAAUAAGGAGAUAUCUAGCCUUUAAGCUAAUCUUUGAUAUCUUAACCCCCAACAAACUGUGUGACAAUAAUCCAGGACUCCCUGGAUUAUUAAAGAGGAUUUUAAUCUCAGUGGGACUUUCCUGGUUAAACAAAGGUUAAAAAAAUAAAAAUGAGAAACCAAAACUCAUUUUGUUUUACAUUUGGGUGACUCUGCCAAAUAGAAACGAAAAAACUCCUAAAAGAAAAUUUGUCGCAUCAUUUGGUUGACUCCGGUUCCUCCACGAGUGUAAAAUGAUCCCAAACUUCUCCAGCUUAAUGAUCAAAUGUGUCUUUGUCUCUACUUUAAAACCGCUGAAGACUUUUUAACCCUAUAGGGUCCAGAUGACCCCACCCUUGCAUUGACGUGUUCCCCCUACCAUGACAAAGGUGGAUAAAGGUGGAAAGA